rnacentral:rRNA from 1 species
CUAUGGAGCUUUAAACACUUAAGUUACUAUCUUACUUACCAACUAAUCUAAAGACUUAACCCACCCUAAUAGUAAUCUAACUUAAUGUUUUCGGUUGGGGCGACCAAGGAGUAAAAGAAAACCUCCUUAUCGAUUGAGUAUUUUUACUUAAAAAUCAGAACAACAGUUCUGAUCAAUAGAAUAUCUAACGAAUAAUGACCCAGGAUUAUACCCUGAUCAAUGAACCAAGUUACCCUAG